CAUUGCAGCAAAUAUCUGCUGGUUUAGGAGAGACCCAUGCCAGAGGCUACCACAUGUUCACAGUGCACACAACAGGGACAUGCACCUGGGAUCUGGUAGGAGAGCCAGCAUAUGAAGAAAAUACGAGUAAUUAGGGUGAAAGAAUAAAGGGAAGGCAAACUGAAUGAGGACAGGGCAGUCCUGGAAAUCCCGGUCUCUGUACAGACAUAGGAUAUGAACCGUGAUUGCUCACACGCCUCGGUUUGACUAGGUGACUGAACAGCAACGACAGAAGAUCAACACAAAACCCAAAGAGCCAAUGAGAAGAAACCCUCAGCAAUGCCGGGCGGUGGUCUUCAACCUGAAUCCUGUGGGGGCAGAAAACGGUGUGAGAAGAGGAAGAAUGGACCUGUCUCUCACCUGGUGCUUGUCACUUUCCAUAGGCUGCUGCUUCUUCUCAAUGGUUUCGUCUCUAGAAGAUAAAAGUACUAUUUAGAUUCUGGAGGCCAACGUAGGGGGACUACAAGCUCAAAGCCAGCCUGGUCUACAGAGUGAGUUACAGCUACAAAGCCGGAGUCCUUGGAAAGCAGUUUCAGCAGAAGUGGAGGAGGAGAGGAAAGGUUGUGUUAGCAUUGUUUUAGAUGCAUUUGCACAGAAGAACGUCUUGCAAAAAGAUGACUGUAUUACUCUUGAGGACAAGAACACUAAGAGGCAGCAGCUACAAACAGACCACGGUGAAUCCUUCAAUCCAGGCAGAAAGAAGGACUGUAGAGCUUCUGCCUGCAGUAAAUAAAGUUAAAGGAGUUAUAUAUAUAUUGCCCUUGCUAUAUCCCUCCAGAAGUGUGUAGCUUCAAGGACCUGGGUGUUCAAUUUGAACCUUAGCUCUACUGUAUUCUACUUGGCUAAUCCUGUGCAAAGGGUGUAAGUUCUUUGUGUGCUGGGCUUUCUAUUUGCAAAGUAAUAAUACCUGUAUACUGAGAGUUCUAUGGAUUACUGAAUAAAUUAUUACAUGAAAGGAACUAAGAAUAAUGUCUGGAACUUAAGUAAUUUUCAAUAAAUAAUCUCUGUUAUUAAAAUUCUGCUGCUAGAGAAGCACUUAAAGAAAUGUUCAAUAUCCUUAGCCAUUAGGGAAAUGCAAAUCAAAACUACCUGGAAAUUUCAUCUUACACCCAUCAGAAUGGCAAAAAUCAAAACCACAAAUGAUAGCUUACGCUUGAGAGAAUAUGGAGCAAGGGGAACAUUCCUGGUGGGAGUGUAAACUUGUACAGCCACUUUGGAAAUCAAUAUGGUGGUUU